rnacentral:lncRNA from 7 species
CGGGAAAGCCGGAUCCGCGCCGGGAUGCGGACAAAGACACGGAGCAGCUGUUCGGGAAUAAAGCUGAAAUAGUAGAACCUGGGAGAGAAGUUAGCUUGGGGGAGCUAUUAUUUUCGCCGCAAAACCCUCGGGAGGUAUUAAACAGCUGCAUCCAAACGACGGAGCGACCCAAAGGCCGGGAUCCCACCGCCUCGCCGUCGAGCAGCGGGCGCGUGGCUCAGCGCACGGCCGCAGGUUCCUCUGCAAAGAGCAGCGUAGCAGAGCGGUUGGGAGAGCUGUGCUGGACAGAGGACGGCCGGCCGCGAGCGGAGCCUCCCACCGGCGAGCAUUGCCAGGCGAGGAGAGAAAACCUGGGCAGCCUUAAAACACUCAGAGUGUAAUGUGACGCUUCCAAACCUUUGCAGCCUGCGGGCGAAAGUCUGCUCGAGGAGCCUGAAGACGCACCAUCCCCACUUAUCGCCCCAGAGGCAGGCUAUCUAGCUGACAAGCUGUGCGGUGAAAAACCAGGUGCCCAUGUGCCUGCUGCUCACCCAAGGCCUGAAAGGGAUCAGCUGCUCAUUUUGCAGAGCAAAGUAAGAUGGCAACAAGGAGUGCUUUCCUGGUGCCAGAUUUCAUCUGAAAUUGGUCCUAUGCUGAACGAGUUGGGGCCAAUGAGAAGCAGAAAGUGGAUGAAGCAAGAUCCUAAAAGGGAAAGACCAAUGUUUUAUUUACUACAAUAAACCCUAAACCCAGGUUUAUCACUAACUAGUCGUAUUUUCUGUUUGUGUUUGUCUUUGUGGUCUGACAUUUGCUCAUGCUGUGAUAGCUUCAUCAAAAUACAUUUUUUAG